UUGAAAGGGAAACGAUUGAAGUCAGUCAUGCUGGUGGGAAUCAACUUAGGGGAAACUCUAGGUGCACUUCUUCGCUUGGCAGGUUAACGUCGAUUUUGAAUGUCAUAAAAUAAUUGGGGGAAGGUAGCUCCUUCGGGAGUGUUAUAGCCCUUGAUAGAUGUGAUGUUUGGGGUCGAGGAUUGCAACGGAUACCCUUCGGGGCUAGCCGCCUGAUCUCUAAUUGGUGUUGGGUUACGGAUAGCAUGCUGACCGUGAUCUAAUUACUGGUUAAAAGGUUAGAGUAUGCAUAAAUUCGUUAAGGAUGUUGACGUA
rnacentral:rRNA from 1 species